rnacentral:SRP_RNA from 1 species
GGUGGUAUGCUCCUGUAGCUCCAGCUACUCAGGAGGCCGAAGCAGGGGGGGUGCUUGAGCCUAGGUGUUCUGGGCUGUAGUGAGCUAUGCCUAUCUGGUGUCUGCAUGAGGUAUGGCAUCAAUAUGGUGACCUUCCAGGGGCAAGGGACCACCAGAUUGUCUAAGGAGGGGUGAAGCCGUCCAGGUUGGAAUUGGAGAAGGUCAUAACUCUCGUGCUGAGCAGUCAUGCAAUCGUACCUGUCAAUAGCCACUGCACUCCAGCCUGGGCAACACAGUGAGAGCCCGUUUCU